UACGAAGGGGGCUAGCGUUGCUCGGAAUCACUGGGCGUAAAGAGCUCGUAGGUGGUUUGUCGCGUUGUCCGUGAAAACUCACAGCUUAACUGUGGGCGUGCGGGCGAUACGGGCAGACGUGGAGUACUGCAGGGGAGACUGGAAGUUCCUGGUGGUAGCGGUGGAAUGCGCAGAGUAUCAGGAGGAACACCAAUGGCGAAGGCAGCUCGCUGGGACGGUACUGACGCUGGAGGAGCGAAAGUGUGGGGAGCGGAACAGGA
rnacentral:rRNA from 1 species